rnacentral:rRNA from 1 species
AGCAUUUAUACGGUGAAACUGCGAAUGGCUCAUUAAAUCAGUUAUCGUUUAUUUGAUAGUACCUUACUACAUGGAUACCUGUGGUAAUUCUAGAGCUAAUACAUGCUAAAAACCUCGACUUCGGAAGGGGUGUAUUUAUUAGAUAAAAAACCAAUGCCCUUCGGGGCUCCUUGGUGAAUCAUAAUAACUUAACGAAUCGCAUGGCCUUGCGCCGGCGAUGGUUCAUUCAAAUUUCUGCCCUAUCAACUUUCGAUGGUAGGAUAGUGGCCUACCAUGGUGGCAACGGGUAACGGGGAAUGGGGCGGGGGCGGCGGGCCGGGCGCG